rnacentral:lncRNA from 1 species
AAACAUUUGAAGGAGCUGUGAAAAGGAAGUUACAUGCAGCACAAACCAGGCAACCAAGAGCUUUUGGUGGUCAUCACUGAAGAUGGAAACUGUGGCAGAUGGAAGUCUCUGCUUCUUGAAGAGAAACUAUGCAUUGAGUAUGCAUGAUCUGUGUGCCUGGAUAUCAUCUUUACCUGCUUUGUUCUGUAUGUUGUCAAAGAGGAUCGCUUUGGGGAGCAUUGUGUCUGUACACUCUGGAUGAACCCCUUUGAAGCAGGAGAUUAUGGCUGAAUGGAUUCUAACCAGUAAAUCUGUACAUUUGAAUUUUAUUUCCUGGAUCUUUUCUCAUUAAGUCCAAUGGAGUGAUGAGCUUGGGAUGGAGGCUUUAUAGAGAGCCAGCACACUGGACCCAGCUGAUUCUAAGGAGCAGGGUCUCACUGUUGCCGAGGCUGAAGUGCAGUAGUAUGAUCUUGGCUCACUGCAGCCUUGACCUUCUGAGCCUCCUGAGUAGCUGGGACCACAGGCGUGCACACCGUGCUUGGCUAAUUUUUGUAUUUUUAGUAGAGAUGAGGUUUCAGCAUGUUGCCCAAGCUGGUCUUGAACUUCUGAACUCAAGCAAUCUGCCCACCUCAGCCUCCCAAAGUGCUGGGAUUAUAGGUGUCAACCACCGUGCCUGGCCCAUCUUUUGCAAUUCUUGACACCAACCCUAUAUUAGAAUUAUACAUCUAUAUCUUUUAUCAUGUGACUUUGCAGUACUUUCCUACAACAGGCCUUUCCUGCACUAUUGACAUUGAGCUUGGUCAUGGGACUUGCUUUGGCCAAUGGAAAGUUAAUGGACAUCAUGGGGCAGAGGCUUCUAAUGUAUUUGACAUUUUGUGCUCUAGCGAUCCACCAGGCAGAGAGCAUGCUCUGAGAAGCCUGUGCCCCAGAAUUAACACACAAGUGUCUUUGACCUGAACCCAACUCACAGUGAGGAACUAUGCCCAGAGAAACUUCAGUCUGAAGUAGAACCUCCCACUGGAGCCUAGCCAAGAUCAAGCAAAGUAUAGAGAACCUGCAGACCCAUGGGCAUGAGAAUGAAUGCUUGUAAGCCACUGACAUUUGGGAUGGUUAUAUAGCAUUACUGUGGCAACAGCUAACUAAUACAUGAGGCUGGGGCUCAGACCACAUUGCAUUUGCCUAAAUAAGCCAUGUUUACUUUAUCUUGUUCAUCAUUGUAUUUCUUAUUCCUAUUACACUGUGUGAUAUGUAGCAGGUGCAAAAAAUGUGUAUUGAAGGAAUACAAAUAUGGUUUCUGACCCCAGCGAUCUCACAGGAUAGUGUAUGAGACAGUUCUGUGAACUGUUAUAAUGUGAAGUGAUAAAUGCAGUAAUAGAAGAGCUAUGAUAGCAUGGAGGUAAGAAGUCUUCAAGUCUGGUGUUACCUACACCAGGGAAAAGUGUCAAAAAAACAAAGCACCCAUAUUUGAAUAUAAUAAGAGCUACUUAUUUUGUCCAUCAGAAGUUUUUAUUAAACUUGCUGGUAUAAGGUGGGCUACUUUGGAAGUCAUAUAAAAAGACUUAUAGUUCCUGCCAUGACUUAAUAAAUUAUAUGUUCAAACAUUUUCAAUAUAUGCACAGAAUAACACGAGAUAUAUAGAAUCUACAUUGCACACAAGAAAAAGGUCAAUGGGCUUACAGCUGGGGUCUAGUGAAUGAAAUUCCAGAGAGUUAUAGACUGGAAUAUGUGUUUAUUCUGAAAAGGCACAUUGUGGCUUUAUAAAUCAAAGUGAGAACUCAUCAGAAAUUGCACAGUGAAGGAUAAGGAGUGGGUGAAGAUGAAAGUGCAAGAUGCACCUACUCCCUGUUUUCAACUGUGCACUAUAAAUAAACGUCCUCCCCAAAUCACCAGUGACCAACAACUGUCUUCCUUCUUCUGACUACUUCACUCAGUCCCUUUCACACAUGGCCCUGUGAGAGCUUAUGGAUUUAUAAUUUGAUCAAGGUUAGAAACGCAUUGUCACUCCUAACUAGGUAUUGCAGAGAGAUAUUUAGAAGUGUUGUUUAUAGGAAAGAGAUUGCAAAAUAUUUUAAAGAGCUGUGCGUCUCAGUGUUCAUUAGUACCAAUUUGUUGGCUUCCCAUUGGCACCCCUCUGCAGCCUUCUUCUACUGAGUCAGUUACUCCUCUCUAUUCUUUGUCUUCCAAAAAAUGUAUUAAAAUCUCUAACUUGCUGAGGUCUCUUCUAUUUUUAUCUUCCAAAAAUACACUGAAAUCUUUAAUUUGCUGAGAUCUCCUCUUGCACUAUCUUUUUUUCCUUAUGGAUUAAUGCCCCUUUUCUGGUAUUUUAGCAGGGUUUGGGGAAGCAGAAGGCUAAAGUGUGUGUGAUCAGUCUGACAUUUUUAAAACCAGAAAUCUACAACCUUAUUCAUCAUAAGUAAAAAUUGGGGACAACGUACAUUUGCAAAGACAAGGAAGUUGUUAAAUAAGUCAGGUGUAUGCCCAGGCUGAAAUUACAUGUGGGAACUAAAAAUAUGGCUUUGAAGAUUAUUUAAUGACAAGGUGAAAUGCUCAGAAUAGAAAUUAAGGACAAAAAGUCAGAUUGUAGAAUUCUCUUUACAGGCUGACCCUAAUUCUCUCAUUCACAUAUCAAAAUGAUAAUAGUUGCUAGUACAUUUGGAUGGUGAGAUUAUAGCAAAUUUAUCUUAUUUCAUUAUUUUUUCAAUUUAAGAUACCAGCU